CCCUUAGAUGUUCUGGGCUGCACGCGCGCUACACUGAAGCUAUCAACACGUUUUCCCUCCCUGAGAAGGGCGGGUAACCUUUUGAAUCAGCUUCGUGGUAGGGAUCGGGGCUUGCAAUUGUUCCCCGUGAACCAGGUAUUCCUAGUAGACGCGAGUCAUAAGCUCGCAUCGAUUAAGUCCCUGCCCUUUGUACACACCGCCCGUCGCUACUACCGAUUGAACGUUUUAGUGAGGCAUUUGGACCGACGCAUCUCAGUUUAACCGCUGGUUUGUGUUGGAAAGACUUCCAAACUUGAGCGUUUAGAGGAAGUAAAAGUCGUAACA
rnacentral:rRNA from 1 species